rnacentral:rRNA from 1 species
UACGGGGGGGGCAAGCGUUGUUCGGAAUUACUGGGCGUAAAGGGCUCGUAGGUGGCCAACUAAGUCAGACGUGAAAUCCCUCAGCUUAACUGGGGAACUGUGUCUGAUACUGGAUGGCUUGAGAUUGGGAGAGGGACGCGGAAUUCCAGGUGUAGCGGUGAAAUGCGUAGAUAUCUGGAGGAACACCGGUGGCGAAGGCGGCGUCCUGGACCAACACUGACACUGAGGAGCGAAAGCCAGGGGAGCAAACGGG